rnacentral:rRNA from 1 species
CAAGGUUAAAACUCAAAUGAAUUGACGGGGGCCCGCACAAGCGGUGGAGCAUGUGGUUUAAUUCGAUGCAACGCGAAGAACCUUACCUACUCUUGACAUCCAGAGAACUUAGCAGAGAUGCUUUGGUGCCUUCGGGAACUCUGAGACAGGUGCUGCAUGGCUGUCGUCAGCUCGUGUUGUGAAAUGUUGGGUUAAGUCCCGCAACGAGCGCAACCCUUAUCCUUUGUUGCCAGCGAUUCGGUCGGGAACUCAAAGGAGACUGCCAGUGAUAAACUGGAGGAAGGUGGGGAUGACGUCAAGUCAUCAUGGCCCUUACGAGUAGGGCUACACACGUGCUACAAUGGCAUAUACAAAGAGAAGCGACCUCGCGAGAGCAAGCGGACCUCAUAAAGUAUGUCGUAGUCCGGAUUGGAGUCUGCAACUCGACUCCAUGAAGUCGGAAUCGCUAGUAAUCGUGGAUCAGAAUGCCACGGUGAAUACGUUCCCGGGCCUUGUACACACCGCCCGUCACACCAUGGGAGUGGGUUGCAAAAGAAGUAGGUAGCUUAACCUCGGGAAGGGCG